AAGAGAGUUUUAUUCUUGCUUUUGUUGUUCAGUGUUUGCUUGCUCUAUAUGUGAGUUUUUGCGUAUUUGUGUUAUGUUUUCUAGAUGAGGAUGUAGUGGUAGAGUUUAUUAUUUUCAUUAGUUGUUAUUGGUUGGUUGGGCCUGCUUUUAUCCAGCAAUGCAUUUUAGUUUCGGUUAAAUUUUGUGCCAGCAGCCGCGGUUAUACUUUGGGGGCGUAUGAAUAUUUUUGGUUUAGCAGUUUUGUGUUUAAUUUUUUGGUUUUUAUUGGUUGGUUGUUUUUGGGUGAAAUUUUUAUUUUUGGUUGUUGUUUUUUAUUUGUUUGGAGGCUGUGAAACUCUUUUUUGUAAACUAGGAUUAGAUACCCUAUUAUUGUGAGUGUUAAUGUUUUGCCUGAGUAGUAUUAGUUGUGUUCUUGAAACUUAAAGAAUUUGGCGGUAUCUUACUCCGUUCAGAGGAAUCUGUCUCGUUAUCGAUAGUCCGCGUUGGACCUUACUUGGAUGUUUAUGUUUAUGGUUUGUAUACCGCCGUUUAUUGAUUGUCUUUUUAGGGUCGUUAAAUUUUCUGGUUUCUUAAUUUUGAUUUAUUGCAGGUCAAGGUGCAGCUCUGUCUGAGUGUAAUGAUGGAUUACAGUGUUAUGUGUUGUUGGAUUGUUGGUUUUAAUACUUAUAUGAAAUUGGAUUUGGUUGUAAUAGUUUUGUAGAUUGUCUAUAUGAUAGUUGGUUCUAGGAUAUGUACACAUCGCCCGUCGCUCUCAUUUAAGGUUUUGAUGAGAUAAGUCGUAACAAAGUGGCUGUACCGGAAGGUGUGGCUGGAAUGAG
rnacentral:ncRNA from 1 species